UACGGGGGGAGCAAGCGUUGUUCGGAAUUACUGGGCGUAAAGGGCUCGUAGGCGGCCAACUAAGUCGGAUGUGAAAUCCCCAGGCUUAACCUGGGAACUGCAUCCGAUACUGGAUGGCUUGAAUCCGGGAGAGGGAUGCGGAAUUCCAGGUGUAGCGGUGAAAUGCGUAGAUAUCUGGAGGAACACCGGUGGCGAAGGCGGCAUCCUGGACCGGCAUUGACGCUGAGUGAGCGAAAGCCAGGGGAGCAAACGGG
rnacentral:rRNA from 1 species